rnacentral:rRNA from 1 species
GACGAACGCUGGCGGCGUGCUUAACACAUGCAAGUCGAACGGAAAGGCCCUGCUUUUGUGGGGUGCUCGAGUGGCGAACGGGUGAGUAACACGUGAGUAACCUGCCCUUGACUUUGGGAUAACUUCAGGAAACUGGGGCGAAUACCGGAUAGGAGCUCCUGCUGCAUGGUGGGGGGUGGAAAGUUUCGGCGGUUGGGGAUGGACUCGCGGCUUAUCAGCUUGUUGGGGGGGUAGUGGCUUACCAAGGCUUUGACGGGUAGCCGGCCUGAGAGGUUUACCGGCCACAUUGGGCCUGAGAUACGGACCAGACUCCUACGGGAGGCAGCAGUGGGGAAUAUUGCACAAUGGGCGGAAGCCUGAUGCAGCAACGCCGCGUGCGGGAUGACGGCCUUCGGGUUGUAAACCGCUUUCGCCUGUGACGAAGCGUGAGUGACGGUAAUGGGUAAAGAAGCACCGGCUAACUACGUG